UACAGAGGGUGCGAGCGUUAUUCGGAAUUACUGGGCGUAAAGCGCGCGUAGCCGGUUUUGUAAGUCAGAUGUGAAAUCCCUGGGCUCAACCUGGGAACUGCAUUUGAGACUGCAUGGCUAGAGUAUGGAAGAGGGAAGUGGAAUUUCCGGUGUAGCGGUGAAAUGCGUAGAUAUCGGAAGGAACACCAGUGGCGAAAGCGACUUCCUGGUCCAAUACUGACGUUCAUGUGCGAAAGCGUGGGGAGCAAACAGG
rnacentral:rRNA from 1 species